GACGAACGCUGGCGGCGCGCCUAACACAUGCAAGUCGAACGGAGUCACGAGGAGCUUGCUUUUCUGGACUUAGUGGCGAACGGGUGAGUAACGCGUGAUUAACCUGCCCUGGAGUGGGGGACAACAGUUGGAAACGACUGCUAAUACCGCAUAAGCCCACGGAUCCGCAUGGCUCUGCGGGGAAAGGAUUUAUUCGCUUCAGGAUGGACUCGCGUCCAAUUAGCUAGUUGGUGAGGUAACGGCCCACCAAGGCGACGAUUGGUAGCCGGACUGAGAGGUUGAACGGCCACAGUGGGACUGAGACACGGCCCAGACUCCUACGGGAGGCAGCAGUGGGGGAUAUUGCACAAUGGGGGUAACCCUGAUGCAGCGACGCCGCGUGGAGGACGAAGGUUUUCGGAUUGUAAACUCCUGUCGUUAGGGACGAUAAUGACGGUACCUAACAAGAAAGCACCGGCUAACUACGUG
rnacentral:rRNA from 1 species